rnacentral:rRNA from 1 species
AUCGAACGCUGGCGGCAGGCCUAACACAUGCAAGUCGAACGAGUGGCGGACGGGUGAGUAAUGUCUGGGAAACUGCCUGAUGGAGGGGGAUAACUACUGGAAAAGGUAGCUAAUACCGCAUACCAUCAGAUGUGCCCAGAUGGGAUUAGCUAGUUGGUGGGGUAACGGCUCACCAAGGCGACGAUCCCCACCCGGUCUGAGAGGAGGACCGGCCACACUGGAACUGGGACACGGUCCAGACUCCUACGGGAGGCAGCAGUGGGGAAUAUUGCACAAUGGACGCAAGCCUGACGCAGCAAUGCCGCGUGUAUGAAGAAGGCCUUCGGGUUGUAAAGUACUUUCAGCGGGGAGGCGUUACCCGCAGAAGAAGCACCGGCUAACUCCGUGCCAGCAGCCGCGGUAAUAC